AACCAACAGGGAUUGCCCUAGUAACGGCGAGUGAACAGGCAAGAGCUCAGAUUUGAAAGGCACUUUUGUGCCGUUGUAUUCUGAAGUUAGGGUCCUGAGAAACGAUGCUUAAGUCUUCUGGAAAGGAGCGCCAUGGAGGGUGAUAGCCCCGUCUAGCAUUGACCUCAUAUAGGAUCUUAACAUGGAGUCGAGUUGUUUGGGAAUGCAGCUCAAAUGGGUGGUAUGCUCCAUCUAAAGCUAAAUAUCUGCGAGAGACCGAUAGUAAACAAGUACUGUGAGGGAAAGAUGAAAAGAACUUUGAAAAGAGAGUGAAAAAGUACGUGAAAUUGUUGAAAUGGAAGGGUAGGCCGCUAACCAUGUAGAGCCGUGUUUGGGGGGAAGAUAAAUGCUGUAGAAUGUAGCUCCUCGGAGUAUUAUAGAUGCAGUUCAUAUUCCCACCCGAGCGCGAGGAUCUCAGGUUCUACUAAAUGGUGGUCUACCAC
rnacentral:rRNA from 4 species